rnacentral:rRNA from 1 species
GAUCAUGGCUCAGAUUGAACGCUGGCGGCAGGCCUAACACAUGCAAGUCGAACGGUAGCACAGAGAGCUUGCUCUCGGGUGACGAGUGGCGGACGGGUGAGUAAUGUCUGGGAAACUGCCUGAUGGAGGGGGAUAACUACUGGAAACGGUAGCUAAUACCGCAUAACGUCGCAAGACCAAAGAGGGGGGACCUUCGGGCCUCUUGCCAUCAGAUGUGCCCAGAUGGGAUUAG